GAUGAACGCUGGCGGCGUGCCUAAUACAUGCAAGUCGAGCGAACAGACGAGGAGCUUGCUCCUCUGACGUUAGCGGCGGACGGGUGAGUAACACGUGGAUAACCUACCUAUAAGACUGGGAUAACUUCGGGAAACCGGAGCCAAUACCGGAUAAUAUAUUGAACCGCAUGGUUCAAUAGUGUAAGACGGUUUUGCUGUCACUUAUAGAUGGAUCCGCGCCGCAUUAGCUAGUUGGUAAGGUAACGGCUUACCAAGGCAACGAUGCGUAGCCGACCUGAGAGGGUGAUCGGCCACACUGGAACUGAGACACGGUCCAGACUCCUACGGGAGGCAGCAGUAGGGAAUCUUCCGCAAUGGGCGAAAGCCUGACGGAGCAACGCCGCGUGAGUGAUGAAGGUCUUCGGAUCGUAAAACUCUGUUAUUAGGGAAGAACAAAUGUGUAAGUAACUAUGCACGUCUUGACGGUACCUAAACAGAAAGCCACGGCUAACUACGUG
rnacentral:rRNA from 1 species